UACAGAGGGUGCGAGCGUUAAUCGGAAUUACUGGGCGUAAAGCGCACGUAGGCGGCGACGUAAGUCGGGUGUGAAAGCCCCGGGCUCAACCUGGGAAUUGCAUUCGAGCCUGCAUUGCUGGAGUACGGAAGAGGAGGGCGGAAUUCCCGGUGUAGCGGUGAAAUGCGUAGAUAUCGGGAGGAACAUCAGUGGCGAAGGCGGCCCUCUGGUCCAGUACUGACACUCAAGUGCGAAAGCGUGGGGCGCACACCGG
rnacentral:rRNA from 1 species